GAUGAACGCUGGCGGCGUGCCUAAUACAUGCAAGUCGAGCGAACAGACGAGGAGCUUGCUCCUCUGACGUUAGCGGCGGACGGGUGAGUAACACGUGGAUAACCUACCUAUAAGACUGGGAUAACUUCGGGAAACCGGAGCUAAUACCGGAUAAUAUAUUGAACCGCAUGGUUCAAUAGUGAAAGACGGUUUUGCUGUCACUUAUAGAUGGAUCCGCGCCGCAUUAGCUAGUUGGUAAGGUAACGGCUUACCAAGGCAACGAUGCAUAGCCGACCUGAGAGGGUGAUCGGCCACACUGGAACUGAGACACGGUCCAGACUCCUACGGGAGGCAGCAGUAGGGAAUCUUCCGCAAUGGGCGAAAGCCUGACGGAGCAACGCCGCGUGAGUGAUGAAGGUCUUCGGAUCGUAAAACUCUGUUAUUAGGGAAGAACAAAUGUGUAAGUAACUAUGCACAUCUUGACGGUACCUAAUCAGAAAGCCACGGCUAACUACGUG
rnacentral:rRNA from 1 species